rnacentral:rRNA from 1 species
AGUGAACGCUGGCGGUAGGCCUAACACAUGCAAGUCGAACGGCAGCACAGUAAGAGCUUGCUCUUACGGGUGGCGAGUGGCGGACGGGUGAGGAAUACAUCGGAAUCUACUUUUUCGUGGGGGAUAACGUAGGGAGACUUACGCUAAUACCGCAUACGACCUACGGGUGAAAGCAGGGGAUCUUCGGACCUUGCGCGAUUGAAUGAGCCGAUGUCGGAUUAGCUAGUUGGCGGGGUAAAGGCCCACCAAGGCGACGAUCCGUAGCUGGUCUGAGAGGAUGAUCAGCCACACUGGAACUGAGACACGGUCCAGACUCCUACGGGAGGCAGCAGUGGGGAAUAUGGGACAAUGGGCGCAAGCCUGAUCCAGCCAUACCGCGUGGGUGAAGAAGGCCUGCGGGUUGUAAAGCCCUUUUGUUGGGAAAGAAAAGCAGCAGGUUAAUACCCCGCUGUUCUGACGGUACCCAAAGAAUAAGCACCGGCUAACUUCGU